rnacentral:rRNA from 1 species
GUCCACGCCGUAAACGAUGGGUGCUAGGUGUGGGAGGUGUCGACUCCUCCCGUGCCGAAGCUAACGCAUUAAGCACCCCGCCUGGGGAGUACGGCCGCAAGGCUAAAACUCAAAGGAAUUGACGGGGCCCGCACAAGCAGCGGAGCAUGUGGUUUAAUUCGACGCAACGCGAAGAACCUUACCUGGGCUUGACAUGCACGGGAAUGUCGUGGAAACACGGCAGCCUUUCGGGGGCUCGUGCACAGGUGUUGCAUGGCUGUCGU